rnacentral:rRNA from 1 species
GAGUUUGAUCAUGGCUCAGGAUGAACGCUGGCGGCGUGCCUAACACAUGCAAGUCGAACGAAGCACUAGACAUGAAGCCUUCGGGCCAAGCGACUAGUGACUUAGUGGCGGAUGGGUGAGUAACGCGUGGGUAACCUGCCUUACACAGGGGGAUAACAACCGGAAACGGUUGCUAAAACCGCAUGAUGUAUGAACAUCGCAUGAUGAUCAUAUUAAAUAUUUAUAGGUGUAAGAUGGGCCCGCGUCUGAUUAGCUAGUUGGUGGAGUAAAAGCCUACCAAGGCGAUGAUCAGUAGCCGGCUUGAGAGAGUGACCGGCCACAUUGGGACUGAGACACGGCCCAAACUCCUACGGGAGGCAGCAGUGGGGAAUCUUGCACAAUGGGCGAAAGCCUGAUGCAGCGACGCCGCGUGAGUGAAGAAGUACCUCGGUAUGUAAAGCUCUAUCAGCAGGGACGAUAAUGACGGUACCU